CAUAGAGAAGUUUUUCACCGUCCCACAUGUGUAAGAUGGUAUGUUGUUUUAGACUAGUGUUUUUAAAUAAUUUUUUAUUCACUUUU